rnacentral:tRNA from 1 species
GCCAACGUGGCAUAGUGGUUUGAGUGUUGGACAAUGACUCUGGAGACUAGGGUUCGAUUCUCAGCUCAGUCA